GUCCGGUCUUUAGUCAAGGUAAAAGUUCAGUUUGCCUGGACAGUCCGUCUGCAUUCCUAUUGAACCGGCCAGGGCGAUACUGGAUGGAGAAGUUGUACGGUUGUAGUGCCAGGCUCCAUCUUAGUAAUCGUCCAUUGUCCCCAGCCACUCGGUUAAGCCAUACUAGGGGGUUAUGGUCUGUGAUCAACGUGAAUUCCUGACCGUAGAGGUAUGGGGUGAGCUUCUAGCCCAGACCAGGGCUAGACACUCCUUUUCCACUGCCGCGUAACUCACUUCCCUGGGUAAUAGUUUCCUACUCAGGUACGCGACAGGGUGUUCCCCUCCAUCUUCCCCGACCUGGCUCAGAACUGCCCCCAGUCCGUACAUGGACGCAUCUGUAUGGACAACAAAUCUUUUGUUAGGGACGGGGGCAGACAAAACCGGUGCGUUGAUCAGGGCUUGUUUCA